AUCCUGGCUCAGGACGAACGCUGGCGGCGUGCUUAACACAUGCAAGUCGAGCGGGGAUUUAAGACGGAAAGCUUCGGCCGGAAGUUUUGAAUUCUAGCGGCGGACGGGUGAGUAACGCGUGAACAAUCUGUCCUACACAGGGGGAUAACACUUGGAAACAGGUGCUAAUACCGCAUAAGACCACGACACCACAUGGUGAUGAGGUAAAAGAUUUAUCGGUGUAGGGUGAGUUCGCGUCCGAUUAGCUAGUUGGUGAGGUAACGGCCCACCAAGGCGACGAUCGGUAGCCGACCUGAGAGGGUGAUCGGCCACAUUGGAACUGAGACACGGUCCAAACUCCUACGGGAGGCAGCAGUGGGGAAUAUUGGGCAAUGGGCGCAAGCCUGACCCAGCAACGCCGCGUGAGGGAAGAAGGUUUUCGGAUUGUAAACCUCUGUCCUCAAGGACGAAGGAAGUGACGGUACUUGAGGAGGAAGCCCCGGCUAACUACGUGCCAGCAGCCGCGGUAAUACGUAGGGGGCGAGCGUUGUCCGGAAUGACUGGGCGUAAAGGGCGUGUAGGCGGCCGAUUAAGUCUGGAGUGAAAGUCCUGCUUUCAAGGUGGGAAUUGCUUUGGAGACUGGUUGGCUUGAGUGCGGAAGAGGUAAGUGGAAUUCCCAGUGUAGCGGUGAAAUGCGUAGAGAUUGGGAGGAACACCAGUGGCGAAGGCGACUUACUGGGCCGUAACUGACGCUGAGGCGCGAAAGCGUGGGGAGCGAACAGGGUUAGAUACCCUGGUAGUCCACGCUGUAAACGAUGAAUACUAGGUGUGGGAGGACUGACCCCCUCCGUGCCGCAGUUAACACACUAAGUAUUCCCACCUCGGGAGUACCGCCGCAAGGUUGCAACUCAAAGGACUUGACGGGGGCCCGCACAAGCAGUGGAUCUAUGUGGUUUUAUUCGAAGCAACGCGAAGAUCCUUUCCAGGGUCUGUCAUCCCACUAACGAAGUAGAGAUACAUUCGGUGCCCUUCGGGGAAAGUUGAGACAGGUGGUGCAUGGUUGUCGUCAGCUCCUGUUGUGAGAUGUUGGGUUAAGUCCCGCCACGAGCGCAACCCCUAUUUUUUGUCGCUCCGCAAGAGCACUCUACCGAGACUGCCGUCGACCACACGGAGGAAGGCGGGGACGACGUCAAAUCAUCAUGCCCCUUCAUCUCUUGGGCCACACACGUAAUACAAUGGUGGUAAACAGAGGGAAGCAAAACAGUGAUGUGGAGCAAAUCCCUAAAAGCCAUCUCUGUUCGGAUUGUAGGUUGCUACUCGCCUACAUGAAGCUGGAAUUGUUUGUAAUCGCGGAUCAGCAUGCCGCGGUGAAUACGUUCCCGGGCCUUGCACACACCGCCCGUCA
rnacentral:rRNA from 1 species